rnacentral:rRNA from 1 species
GACAGAGGUGCCGAGCGUUAGGCGGAAUCACUGGGCUUAAAGCGUGUGUAGGCGGGCGGGCAAGUACCUUGUGAAAUCCCACGGCUCAACCGUGGAACGGCUGGGUAUACUGCCUGUCUUGAGCCAACUAGGGGCGAGCGGAACAAACGGUGGAGCGGUGAAAUUCGUAGAUAUCGAGAGGAACACCGGUGGCGAAGGCGGCCUUCUGGACAGUGACUGACGCUGAGACGCGAAAGCGUGGGGAGCAAACAGG